rnacentral:rRNA from 1 species
UACGUAGGUGGCAAGCGUUGUCCGGAAUUAUUGGGCGUAAAGGGCGCGUAGGCGGCCUGAUAAGUCAGAUGUGAAAUCCCGAGGCUCAACUUCGGACUGGCAUUUGAAACUGUCGGGCUAGAGUGCAGGAGAGGAAAGUGGAAUUCCUAGUGUAGCGGUGAAAUGCGUAGAGAUUAGGAGGAACACCAGUGGCGAAGGCGACUUUCUGGACUGUAACUGACGCUGAGGCGCGAAAGCGUGGGGAGCAAACAGG